CAUGCAAGUCGAACGAACCUUCGGGUUAGUGGCGGACGGGUGAGUAACGCGUGGGAAUCUGCCCUCAGGAGGGGGAUAACGGCUGGAAACGGCCGCUAAUACCCCAUAUGCCGAGAGGUGAAAUGAAUUUCGCCUGAGGAUGAGCCCGCGUCUGAUUAGCUUGUUGGUGAGGUAAUGGCUCACCAAGGCUUCGAUCAGUAGCUGGUCUGAGAGGAUGAUCAGCCACACUGGGACUGAGACACGGCCCAGACUCCUACGGGAGGCAGCAGUGGGGAAUUUUCCGCAAUGGGCGAAAGCCUGACGGAGCAACGCCGCGUGAGGGAUGAAGGCCUCUGGGCUGUAAACCUCUUUUCUCAAGGAAGAAGAUCUGACGGUACUUGAGGAAUAAGCCACGGCUAAUUCCGUGCCAGCAGCCGCGGUAAUACGGGAGUGGCAAGCGUUAUCCGGAAUUAUUGGGCGUAAAGCGUCCGCAGGCGGCCUUUCAAGUCUGCUGUUAAAGCGUGGAGCUUAACUCCAUCAAGGCAGUGGAAACUGUUGGGCUUGAGUGUGGUAGGGGCAGAGGGAAUUCCCGGUGUAGCGGUGAAAUGCGUAGAUAUCGGGAAGAACACCAGUGGCGAAGGCGCUCUGCUGGGCCAUAACUGACGCUCAUGGACGAAAGCCAGGGGAGCGAAAGGGAUUAGAUACCCCUGUAGUCCUGGCCGUAAACGAUGAACACUAGGUGUCGGGGGAAUCGACCCCCUCGGUGUCGUAGCCAACGCGUUAAGUGUUCCGCCUGGGGAG
rnacentral:rRNA from 1 species